rnacentral:rRNA from 1 species
UACAGAGGUCCCAAGCGUUGUUCGGAUUCAUUGGGCGUAAAGGGUGUGUAGGUGGUUCGGUAAGUCAGGUGUGAAACCUCCAGGCUCAACCUGGAGACGCCACUUGAUACUGCCGUGACUGGAGUCCGGUAGGGGAGCGUGGAAUUCCUGGUGUAGCGGUGAAAUGCGCAGAUAUCAGGAGGAACACCAGCGGCGAAGGCGGCGCUCUGGGCCGGUACUGACACUGAGGAGCGAAAGCGUGGGUAGCAAACAGG